GACUUUCCCAUCAGCCCUGUAGCGUGGGUCACAGAGGCCGGCAGGUGUGGAGAUGGGCAGCUUCUCAUAGGUCAUGUUGCUGUUCUUCUUCUUCUGGCCCCAGAGUUGGGCCACGGCCUCUGAGCGAAGAAACUUGAACACACCCUCGUGCCGGUUCUCCCACUUCAUGAGGCCUUCGUUGAGCUCGGGGUGGAUUAGGAUGUCUCGGAUAAACUCCCACAGGAUGAAGCUCCCGGGAGUUACACCAGCACCAGCCUGAUUAGGAGGGUUCCUCAGAAGCCAGACCCACUUCCUCUGAAGCACAGACCCACGUGGCUCUCCCGCCGGAAGACCUCAGGUAUGAUAAUGGAGGUCCCCAGCCUUUGAGGGGACCAGGGAUGUAACUACCCACCUGGCUCUGCAGGAAGUCCUUCACUUUCUGGAAUUCCUCUUGGUAGUCAUUCUUAAGGAUGAUUUGGCCCCAUCUUAGCCGUAACUCAGCAUUCUGAGCAUUGGAAAUCUUUGGGUAUGUCUCCCCAAGUUUUUUCACAUUCCCUAGAAAAGAGAGAGUGAUGGGCUAUUGAUGGCCGGCUGAAAAGCCCAGAAGGCUCAUUCUUGAGGCCACUGAGUGAGUAUCUGCCCUCAUUCCCUCUGAAAGCACUUGCAGAAACCUUCAGGAGGUUCCCUUACCACUCACCUCUCGCAUGCGUUCUGCUCAUGUGUCUGGCAUGGUGAUGCUCUCAGACCACGAGCACUUUAACUCUAAGGCUCUCCCCUUAAUUUUACUCCAGACUCUGUUCUUCUCCUCGAGUUCUCUCCUACCAUUAUACUAAUAAAUUUGGAUCCAGCUUUGAAAUCUGAAUAUGUGCAGUUACCUGUUCUUAGUAUGAAAACCCCCUAUGCCAGGAGAGUUGACUCUCACUGGGAUUUAAUGACUAUUAUUUCUGACUGGGGAACAACAAAGUAUCAGUGAGUCAGAUGAUAGAGCUCGGGAGACGGCUCAGUGGCUAGGAGUGCUCCCUGUUUUUCCAGAGGACCUCAGUUCAGUUCCCAGCAUCCAUAUCAGAUGGCUUACAACCACCUGCGACCACAGCUCUAGGGUAUCAAUACCCUCUUCUGGCCUCCGUGGGUACCCACACAUGGGUCAGACACACACAUACAUCAAUAAAUCUUUAAAGUAAUUUUUAAAUAAAAAAGAGUUUUGGUGACUAGGUUGAAAUCUUAGCCCAACCCUUUCGAAAUUGUGUUGGUUACUGGUGCCUUUCUGAUACAGUCUCUGCUACCUGGGGGUUAAAUGGCCUAACAGAAACAGAGUUUACAGAGCGCCCUGCAGAACCAGGGCCCUGAUAGAUGCCAGGCUUUGUUAAUUUGAUCUUGGCACUUGUCUGUGUAACCUUCACCGUUUUGAUGGCAUAGUCUUGUGAAGUCUCAGCCUCCCUUCUACCUGGGAGUCACUUAGAGGCCGGAAUGUGAAUCUACCUCUGACCUCUGACAUGAAGCUGUGCACGCAAGGAGCCUGGAUUCAGUGUGACAAGGAGGUAACCCACUAUCCUUACCAGGAGGGAGAGGAGACUUCUGCAAGAUCUUAUCUAGGAAGUAGACAAGCUGGUAGGUCUUCCAGGUAGAGAUGGCCACGGCUUCAAUGGCUUGCAUGUCUGGCUCUGAGGUCACCCACAGUUCUGCCAGCUCUUCAGCUGGCUUCAUGAGUGAGUCCCCAGGGGAGAGGUCGGGGAGGUAGGGGGGCCAUCCAGGGGUGUUCAGCCAUCGAUCAAACUCAAAACCUCAUAGGUCAAAGAAAAGAAGGCACGUCAGAACUCUCCCACCAAUCAACAUGUCCAGGGAGUCUCCUGAGCUUGCACCCCCCAUUUCCCCAUCUGCGGGGUCCUGGCUGGGGUGGCAUCUGGAGGCGCUCACAGUAAGACUGGACAAUGCCUGUUUCUACUGUGAAACUGGUUUUUGCUUUAAAAUUAGCACUCUGUCAUCAGGUGACAGCCACCUUUGUAGUCAAGCGCAUCCUGUUCUCCCUAUCCUAACAGCACCAGGGACCAAGCCUGGGCCACCCAGCUUCCUAUCCUGGUUCUGCCAAAGGCUCUGGGAGGCCACAAGCAGGUUACUUUACCUCUUGGCGCCUCAGUUGUUUGUAAAAUGGGGGUGCUAGGCCCUACCUUAGUUGACAGUUGCGAAGAUUAAAUGAGCAAAUAUACAUUAAAAGCUUAGCGUCCUGCCUGGUGUGCAGUAAGCACUCAGUAAUUAUUAACUAUUAUUCCUUAGACCCAUGACCUUGAAAUCAAGGCCUCCAACCAACUGCAGGACAAGGUGCUACCAAGGCUGAAACUGACUUCGCCAAACCAACCAGAGUGAUUCAGAGUUCAUGUCCCGACAAGGGGUGUGGCUAACUAAGGGACUGUCUGGGCCACGUAGGGGACAUCUUCUCUGCUCUAUGAGGAAGUAGCACCUCCCUGCUGACAUCGGAGCAUGGCCAGGAUUUCCCAUUGCUCACAGGACUCAGAGAGGCCUCACCAUGAGCUCAGGGCCCCUUUUGCUGUCCUGCUUCUAAUCUGGGCAGCAGAGGUCACAGCAACACUCUGAGAAGAAUCAAGAAGUCAGCCUGCCUCUGGUUCUCUGUCUUCCAGAGGCAAGGAAGGUCUCAUGCAGCCUCCACACACUGGCCUUGAACUCACUGGAACCAAGGGUGGCUUCUCUACCCAGACCCUCUUAUCCCCACCUCCCCCAAGCUGGGGUUAUAGUCGUGCCAAAGUUUUUUUAUUUUGUUUGUUUUGACUUGAACUCAACAUAAAACCCAGGCUGGUCUUAAAG
ensembl:antisense Gm26642 predicted gene, 26642